GCCUCGAAACAUUUACAACAGCUUGACUGAUAACAGGUCCAGCAAUGCUGAUAACAGCAGACGUUUAAAAUAUAAAGUCAAAAUAUAUCGAAAAACCAGACAACAACCAAAUACAAUUCCAAAGAAAGAUAAUGCAGGACGAUUAAAGUCUAAAAAUGCGAAAAAUCCACAAACUACAGCAAUUCCAAUAGAGCCAUAUCGUGCAAAAAAUUGCAAGAACAACAGCCGACAUAGAUGUCUAUCUUCCAAUGUUUUCUUUCGUCUCCUUGAAAUUGAAUUGUUAAAUACGAAAGACAAAAAUAGUAUAGUUUAUAUUCCUGUAGAGACAGCAACAGUCGCCAAACACGUCGUCAGGGCUGCUUCAUAAAUAAAUUUCUCUGCAAUAUUACAAAUAAAAUUCGUAUCAGUGUGAUUCUUCAUUUCGUCAAGGAUAGCACUACUUGUGUUUUUAAAAGCACCAUGGAUAUAGGGCAAAUGAGCAGCCAAGCCUAUUCUGAUAUCCGCUUCGUUGCGUAUAUUGCUUCCUCUUUGUCCCCACAUUUAAUAAUUCUACUUUCGACGGUAAGGCUGACAAUAGCUGCAACAAUUACUUUAACGUAAGCUCUACGCACCAAUGCACCAGCAAUGGCGCCGAGGGCAGCUACUAACAAAGCUGUUUUGAGUCCUACUUCUUUACAGUCUAUUAUUAAAAUGUUGAUCAAAUCAAUAAAACAGAUCCUGGAGCAAGUGUUUGUGUCUGCUUGAUAACUGACACUCUUUCCGGAUAAAAUAUAGUUUAUUGCGUGCUCACAAUUAUUUGAUGAUAUUUCAUACUUUCUCUCACUGAGACGAUUAAAAGCUUCCUCAAUUUCUUUUCUUGUACUUAUAUAGUUCUCCUGUUCAACUAAGAAUACACCCUGCUCAAAGUUUAAAAUAGCAUGUGUAUGUGUAUAAUUGUCGAUUUCUUCCAUCAAGAAUGUCUGCUGUACAAAUUUACCGAUGCCAUCAUAAUUCUCCAUCCCAAUUUCAGCCGAGCUUGUGUAUUGUCCGAUGGUGACAGCAUCUAUCCCAUCAGAUACUUUAGAGAUUGCCAACACCAGAAAAUGGUGGAAGUUGUCUUGAACAGCUUCUCGUUUCACUUUUAUAUGAGACAACGGUUUACACUUACAUCGAAAAUCAUCAUAAUUUUCCAGUUUAUUUGGAUCUUUUUCCUGGCAAGGAAUUUCGAUAUUUUCGUCUUUAAUUUCAAUUCUUAUAGUAUCAUCUUCACCAUGACUACAAACCUACAAAAUUAAAAAAGAACGGAUUUUUACAUAAUUUUUCUUUUAUGGUUAGAAUAUGAAAACUUUAUUAAUUGUUGCCAUUUAAAUCUAUGAACAAAUGAUUGAUUCUAAUAUGACGCGCUUCUUUCGCUUUGUAAACAACAGCGUGAUAAAAUUCUCGAUAUAUCUAUACUUAGCGCAGACUCAGAGAUGUACAUAUUGAUGGCUGUUACUAUUUACCUCCCAUGUAAAUCCACAUGUAUCGUAACCUAUGUGCAAACACUAUGUCGAUUUCGUUGUGUUCAAAUUGUAAUUGAAAAAGAAACUACAGAACCGUUAUUCUUAUUCUAAUGCAUAACAAAAAGAAUUAAUGAACAAGAGCUAAAAAAAUGUAUAAAUCAAAACAAAAUUUAAAUUCCGCGAAAUUUCAUGAACGAUCUUGGUGCAUUCACGUCAUGUCAUAACAUGACAUCAUACGAAUGAAAAAACUCAAGGUAAAGGUUUUCCGUUACGUAUACGCCCUACGUUCGGAUAAUAUCGCAUUAAAAUGGAGUUUUGAGUUACUUUAUCGGAUUUAUGCUGUGAAGAUGUACUAAGAAUAGUUAUUAAGGUGAGUAAAUCUUUACUUUUGUUUUGAUCUUGUUGAGUACAUCUACUAUAGAUUAAAGUUGUAAACCUAAAGGGUUUUAAAUAGAAAAAAGACUGGUUAAAUUUUCUAAUAUAAGUGUUUUUAUCUCUGACAAUUUUUGUUUUUGGUAUUAUCAAAUAUACUUCUGUUAAUAGUAUCAUAUACAUGAAAAUAUAUGGUAUAAUGCAAUAUGUGCAAAAUUUCACGUUUCUUUUUUUUUUUUUGUAUUUACUCUUGUUACAUUUGUUUUGGAAUCUUUAUUCCAUUCAAUUAUCUUUCUAUAAAUACUAAAUACACAAUUAAUCGUCCCAGAAAACAAUAACAACUAAACACGCAACAUAUAUAAAGAUUACUGAAGAUAGAAAAAUAAAACAAACGUUGCUCAAAUGACAUCUAUAGCAUCUACAAUGACAACUGGCCUCGUAACAUUUACAACAGCUUGACUGAUAACAGAUCCAGCAACACUUACAACAGCAGACGUUAAAAAUCAUCCCUGCAGUACAAGUCAAAAUAUAUCGAAAAACAAUACAACAACCAAAUACAAUUCCAAAGAAAGAUAAUGCAGGACGAUUAAAGUCUAAAAAUGCGAAAUAUCCA